UCACCAUCAUAUUACAGAAGCCCGCUUAUCAUAUACGCUACCGGCGCAUCUUAGAGUACGCCACCGGAAUGCUGAUCUUAACUGCCUCGGUGACGAUGUCCGAUGAAAAUCCAAAACCCUGCUUAAGUCUUCCGCUGUUCUGUCUGCAGUUUUUCAGAAAGAACUUGUUGGUAAUAAAUUUCCCCUAAAUCAAUUUUCCCGGCGAUGAAGUAAUGCUACUGUUCUUCCCAUCCAUUAAAAAAGAAAGAAGGAAAAUUCGAGAACUCGUUGGAGUUACAUGGGUAUUCUUGGAAUUGGAGACCUUGAUAUUGUCAGAUUAACUUGGAAUUCUUGCAUGCAUUCUUUUUAAGAAAAAAAAUCAAGAACUUGUAGUUAUUCUUAAAUGCAUAUUUUAAGGAAAUCAAAGAAAUUUAGUUUUCAAGAAUAUAUUGGCAUUGUACAUAUCAAGAAAUCUUUUGAAGAAAAUUAUGUUGUUAUUCUCGCAGUGUGUGUUAAGGAUGUUCAAGAAUUUGUUUUUACUUUUUUAGGGAGAUGGGGGUCAAUUCGGUGAGGGUAUCAUAAGGGUUGUUGAGGAGUUGGUUUUCAACAGCCUCGAUGUUUCAAUACUCCUUAUGAUUUACUAGGGAGAUGGGCUGCUGAGAAUAUGGCAAGUCGUGCUUAUAUGCAGAUUUAGUCGUUUAGACUGGUCGCACAAAAGGCAAUGAACGGUGAGGCUCUUCAAUGAAUUCUUAUGUUCCUUUGUUUGCUACUUCUGAUGACGAGGUCAUAUCCUUUAGAUGAAAGUUGAUAUACCUUUUCUUCUCUUGGUAUGCUGUUCCAUUCUUAUAGCACAACUCUAUUUCUUUUUUUUCAUGAGAUUUAUAGGACUGUUCUUUUUAUGUUUGUUAUUCUUAUAAGUAGUGUCCUCCUAGUUUGAACUUAACCUAGUUUCCACAAGAUAUCUGUUGCUAUAGGCAUUGGGAUCUGCUAUGUGAAGGUGGAUGACAAUGGAUCUGGUGUUUCCCGAGAUGUACUGGUGCUGAUAGGAGAAAAAUAUGCGACAUCAAAAUACAGCCAUUCAGAUGAUAUGUAUGCUUUCCCAGCAAACUUUGGUUUCAAAGGAGAGACUCUGAGCUCUAUCUGACAUUUCUUUAUUGGAAAUUAUUACUAAAACUCACGGCAGGCCAAACGGAUAUUGUAAGGCUUUGAAGGACGGCAAGUGUUUGUACCUUUGAAUUGAUGAUUGUAGACAAGAUGUUGGUACAACAGUCAUUGUUCGUGAUGUAUUUUAAAAUCAACCAGUUCGAAGGAAGCUAAUGCACUCCAACCCAAAGAAGGUCUUGCAUUCUCUGAAAGAGUCUCUGCUAAUAAUCGCUCUUGUGCAUCCCAGUAUCUCCUUCAAAAUUUUUGAUACUUAAGGAGUCUGAAAGAGUCUCUGCUAAGCAUGACAAGCAUUUCUUCUCAGGCUAGUUAUUCCAUUCUGAGGUUCCAUGAUAUUUUGUGCGUUAAUCUAACUGAUGUGGAUCUGUUAGAAUUUCUUCAACAGGUUAGUCCAUCUACACUAACUGGCUCUCAUAUUCCACUCCUUCAUUUAAUUAACUUUAAUCUUUCUCAUGUGGAUCUUGCUUAUGUUCUUGCUUAAACUAAGUUAAUAUUUAAUUUCUGAAUUUGGAGCUACCUUGAUGCUCUCUCACCGCCUCCCACCCCACAUAGGAAAAAGAGAAAGAACAAGUAAUUAGAACCAAAAGUGAUUUAAGAUAUUUUUCUUUACUCCUGAUGUUUUUGUUUUCUUUUGUGUUGGAACAAUACCUCUUAUAUGGAUUGAGUAGAACAGAUAUAGAGGAAUGAGGAUCACUAUAGCCGGCCAACUAAUUUUGGGGUGAAGCAUAAUUGAUGGAUUGAUUCCUGAUGUUGCUAUUUUAUUUAUUUAUUUUCGUGGGUGCAAUUAUGUUUGGAGAUGCAUUGUUGCCUUCAGAAUGUUCUCUCAAAGUUGAGGAGUUGAAGCAGACUUCGUUGUUUUCAAUGUGCUCAUUCCGACUAUGGCCCCUCUUGUCAACUUGGGUGCUCUACAUGAGCAGAUUGCUAAGUCAGGUUCGUGGAGUAGGACUUCCUUCGAGGCAUGUGGAUUACAUCGGCAUGAAAUCAACCUAGAACAUACAGCAAAGCGACUAAGAUCUAGCUGUAUGUAGAGAUGUUUUCAUUAUUUGUUCUAGCUGAAGUGAUGCUUUGGUACUUUUAACCCUGCUUAUGGAGACAGUAUAUGUUUCUGUUGUUUCUUUUUUGUCUGACCAUUUUGACUAUGGUACGACAUGCUUGCUUUACUAUAGCAACAUCAAAAUAUAGCCAUUCAGAUGAUAUGCAUGCUUUCCCAGCAAGAUUUGGCUUUAAAGGAGAUGUUUUGAGCUCUAUUUCUUGCGUUUCCCAACAAGCUUUGGCUUUAAAAGAUCUGUUGUCUCACAAGAUGGACUGGUGCUGAUGAGAGAAAGAUAUGGUAAUCUUUUAGCAAAAUGUUGGACUGACAUCAUCUUUUUUAUUGUAUUGAUGCUUCUGUACAUAAUUUAUUUUUGCCCGAAAAGAUGUUCAUAACUUGGAAUGGUUGUUGUAGUCUACAGGAUAUUGAUCAAAUGAUAGGCUGUUUGACGGUUUGUGAUCAUUAAUAUCCUUUUACAAAUGUUCUUUUAUUUAUUAUUUUGAGGGGAAAACUGGUAUGGCUGUACACAACACAAAAUAUUGAUGCUUACAUUUUGUUUUUGCUUUUAUUGUAAGGUGUUCAUGUACAUCACAUUCCUGGUGCUUAUUGGUGCUUAGACGACAAGAGUUUGUACCUCGGAAUUGAUGAUUGUAGACAAAAUGUUUGUACAACAGCCAUUGUUCGUGAUGUCUUUUACAACCAACCAGUUUGAAGGAAGCCAAUGCACUUCAACCCAAAUAGGGUCUUGCAUUCUCUGAAAGAGUCUCUGCUGAGAAUCGCCCUUGUGCAUCCCGGUGUCUCCUUCAGAAGUGUUGAUAUUGAAAGGUCCGUCUUUGUUACCCCUGCUGCUGUCUGGUUUCUUAGAUUUUGUUCAUUUCCAUGCAGUGAGGAUGACCUGCUUUGCACACGUGCUUCUCCUUCUCCUUCUCUAUUGCCGCUAUUAUCCAAUGGGUUUGGGAUUCAUCUGAGUUCCCUUAGCAAAUUUAAUGCAACCGAUGGUUCAUUCAAGCUCUCAGGAUACAUCUCAGGUCAAUGUUUACACAGUGAAGGUCCUUGUAUAUUUCUAUCUUUAUAUGAUUUGACUUUGGAGCCUUCAAAGACCUCUGUGGAAUUUUAGGUGAGAUUCUUUGUUGGCAUUUAUUAUUUAAUUGUUUUGGGGUAUCUAAACGAAUGUGAGUCUUUGAAUUUAUUUUUGUAGAAUUGAGUUUGUGUUAGGGUUUGUUUUGUGAUAAUUGGUUUGGGUUGUUUCCUUUAAAAAAUAUUUGACAACACCUAAUCAUUAUUUGAAAUUUUAAUGGUCGUGAAAUAUAUAGGUUAAAAUUGGCUAAACAUCAUUAUUUAUAAUCGUACAAGAUUUCAAAGUAUUAAAAGGGGCACCCUGACAGGCAAGGUCCUUGCGUCAAAGUUGUUCCCCAGAGAACAAAAUAAUCUCCCAUUUGUUAUGAGAGAACAAUGCAAAACCACAUUUCUAGCUUCUUUUGGUUGCAAAACCAAACAGGCCAAUGUACUUUUUUUACUGCUUGGAGUGUUGUAUUUCUUAUUACAAUGUAUUUGCUGCUUCUAAGACUGACAAUUCUUCCAGUUUGAACUUAGUCUCCUGGUUUUUACUUACCCAAUCAUUCCUGACCUGAAAAAAAACAUGGGGAGUCAAAAAAUGUACACGCGACGGGGAGUCAGAAGAAGAAUUUGCACCAACAAAAUCUCAAAGUUUCUUCAUUUAUGGGACAAAAUGGAGGGACUUCUGUCCAGAGAUUACAAGCGGUACUGGAAUAGAGAAUCUGAAGAAUCAGGUUACUAUACUCAAUGUUACUUAUGUCGUCUCGCAUUUUGUUGGUGAUUCAUUGGUUAUUGAUACCACUGAUAAAUACUGCCUGGAGGGUACCAAAGUUCUCCAACAGUUUGAUAAGAAGUUUAUUCCGAUUGUGGCAAACCCAACACUUGCUAUAAUUGAUCAGGUUUAUUCUGGCCUUUGCAUUGUCCAUUAUAGCCAUUCUUGGUUUCUGAUGAAUUUCCUUAUAAUACAUUGUAGUCUAUAGGAUUGCAUGCAUUACUCAAGUGAUAGGCUCUUUGACAGUUUGUAUUCAUUAGUAUCUUUAUCCAUAUGUUCUUUUAUUUAUUAUUAUGUGGUUUUACUUGUAUGGCUGUACACAACACAAAAUAUUGAUGUUUACAUUUAGGUUUUUCUCUAUUUUAAGUUGUUCAUGGAAUCGCUUUCCUGGUGCUUCAUUUGCAAUAAAACACUUUCUUUACCUUUACUGCCUCUCCAAAAGAAUAUGGGUAGCUUGGUUGGGGGGGGGGGGGACAUGAAAUAUAUUUUUGUUGAUGACUACUGUUUGAUUAUUUAUUCUAGCUGAAGUUGAGCUGGAACAUACAUGUUGGUGAUUAGGUACUUUUAGCCCAGCUUAUGGAGAUAGUAUAUGUGCCUGUUCCUUUCAUCUUCUGUCAUGCUUCAUUUUAGUCUGGCCAUUUUAACUACGGUUUCGUAUGCUUCAUGUACACCAGUGACAUCAAAAUACAACCAUUCCGAUGAUAUGCAUGCUUUCUGAGUAAGUUUUAGCCUUAAAGGUGAGGCUCUGAGCUCUAUUUCUGACAUUUCUUUGUUGGAAAUUGUUGCUAAAACUCACGGGAGGUCAAAUGGACAUCGUAAGGUUUUGAAGCUAAAUUCCUUAUGAGUUUUAGUUGGUAGUAUCCACUAGGAUAGGUAUAAAACUACUAACUUGGUCUUUAUUCUUAUCAUUGUUUACGGGGCAAGUGUUUUGUACCUUGAAAUUGAUGAUUGUAGACAAGAUGUUGGUAGAACAGGUAAUUCUGUAUAAGCCUGUUUGACUGGUGUUUGCUAAUAAGGAAAUUUGUUGGCAUUUUUCUUUUUGCAGUCAUUGUUCAUGAUGUAUUUUUCAACCAACCAGUUCGAACUUCAAAGGAAGCAAAUGCACUCCAAGUACUUCUAGUUUUCUCACAAUUUAAACAAACAAAAAAUAUUGAUUUACUUACUUUACUUCUUAAGUUGUACUCUGUCAUGAUUGAUCUUUUGGUUUGCUUGUAUAAUCCACAAGCCCAAAGAGGGUCUUGCAUUCUCUGAAAGAGACUGCUAAGAAUCACACCUGUGCAUCCCAGUGUCUCCUUCAAAAUUGUUGAUAUUGAUAGGUCUGUCUCUGUUAUUCCAACUAACUUAAGGAUAUUUCCUGUCUAGCAUCUUAGAUUUUGUUCAUUUGCAAGCCGUGAGGAUGACCUGCUUUGCACAUGUGCUAGGGAUUCAUCUGAGUUCCCUUUACAAAUUGAAUGCAAGCGAUGGUUCAUUCAAACUCUCAGGAUACAUCUCAGGUCCUGAAGUUUACGCAAUGAAGGCAUACAGGCCCAAAUUGAUGGAUAAGAUAUCUAACUCUGUUUCCCUAACAACCACACUCAAUUUCCUGGUCCUUCAAUAUUUCUGUACCUACUUUUUCUGUAUAUUUUCCUGACCAAAGAAAAACGGGAAACUAAUCUUUGGUUAACAUUUUCUAUAUCAGAUGCUUGUUUUUUACGGUGUUUCUUUUUUCUUUGACCUUCGUGGUGCAGAUAUCAAUUCAAGAUUUGUUUUCCAAAGGACCAAUACAUAAAUUACUUAAUAACAUAGCUAUGGCCUAUGUGUUUUGACAGUGUUUUUGACAUUGAGAAGCGAAGUAGAUCUCAAAUAUAUCCACUGUUUUUGUUGAACCUCAACUGUCCAUGAUGUUUAUAUAAUUCGACCUUGGAGCCUUCAAAGACCUCUGUGGAAUAUAAGUGUUGCUUGUGGGAUUGGCGCCAUCCUUCUCUUUAUUGAGGAUACUAUCGUGAAUCUCUGGACUGGAAGUAAUAGGAACACCUGUUAAUUAGGAGAUAAAGAAAAGGAGGUGCAGGGCCCAGAGUUGCCAAGCGACACUUGAACUCCUUACCCACAGCCAAAAGAAGCUGACUGGAGAGUGCACUGUCAGAAGAGAGAUUCGAUCUUCACAGAAUAUUCUGUGGGGAAGUGCUUCUGAAAAGCAUGAUCCCCAGUCCAGUUUCCUCUGUCAGAUCGAAAGUUCAAGUUUGUCAAUUUAUGGCUCUCUUGCUCAUUGUAUAGUCAGUGUGAACUGGAAAUCCAGAAACUCUGCGCAGCCCCUUUCAUCUAAUGUUUUCCUACAGAGGAUGAUUUCCUGGAUAACAAAUUCAGUGCUUCAGCUAGCUCCAGGUAUAAAUCAGACUGCCUGCUAGGUUCAGGAUGGGAGGAUGAGUCUCAAACAAUUGUAGCUGGCAGAUCAACAGAGGAUGCCUCAUUUUGGGAGUCUCUUGAACUUGAUGACAGUUCAAAUGUGAUGCAUGAGAGAAGGAAUCCAUUUAGUUGGAGCUGUUCUUUGCACAGAAGCCUGAUACAUGAUGGAUCAUCUUUCGAUAGUGAUGAAGAUAUUAAGUUUGAAAAAGUUCUACAGCAUGUUGCAGAUGAGCUAAUUCGUUUGGAAGAAUUGCGUGAGAAAGUCCUAUUUGGAAAAAUGAGGACAACAACCUAUGUUGAUUCUGAGCACGAAUUGGUGCGUUUAUUUUGAUUAUAGGUAGUCCCUGAAAUUGGUUGCCAAUUACUACACAACUAUGCUGACCAAAUUCAAAACUGGGGUUGGAUCUGCAACAUUCAUUCUCAAGCUUCAAGAUCAUUUACCAGGUUCCAUGUAUUUUGUGCAUUAAUCUAACUGAUGUGGAUUGGUUAGAAUUUAUUCAACAGUGUUGCCUUCAGAUUGUUCUCCCAUUGUUGAGGAAUUGAAGCAGACUUCAUUUGUGUUUUCAAGUGAGGGGAAAAUUGUAUUUCAAGAAAUAUCUGCGUUGGAACUGCAUUUGAUGGUAUGUUUAAGAGAGAAUUUCAUGUUAUUAAUGACAUCUUUUUGUUUGUUAGUGUGCUCAUGAGUAGAUUGCUAAGUUAGGUUCAUGGAGUAAGGGUUCCUCCCAUGGAUAGCAUGGGUUACAUCGACAUGAAAUCAACCUAGAACGUGCGGUGAAGUAUCCUAGUGUCAAAAAUUUGUCGUGCCUCGUGAGUAUACCUUAUUUGGUUCGCUGCUACCUACCAAGCAAUAAUUUCACGCCGAAGAUAUCCAAUUUGCAAUCACAUUGAAGGAUAACUUGAAUCUGGAGCAAGGUACAUCUAUAUCGAUUCAACAAAUAAAUGUAUGUACAUAAUGUAACACUAGCUUUUGGUACGGGAGAGAGACACACACACCGGAAGUGAUAGGUCCAUCUGAAAGAGUCUCUGCUGAGAAUCGCCCUUGUGCAUCCCAGCGUCUGCUUCAAAAGUGUUGAUAUUGAAAGUGAAGAUGACCUGCUUUGCACAUGUGCUUCUCCUUCUCCAUUGCCGCUAUUUUCUAGUGGGUUUGGGAUUCAGCUGAGUUCCCUUAACAAAUUUAAUGCAAAUGAUGGUUCAUUCAAGCUCUCAGGAUACAUCUCAGGUCAAUGUUUACACAGUGAAGGUAUACAGGCCCAAAUUGAUGGAUAAGAGAUGUGAUAAGCUAUCUUUUCUACUCCUUGUUUCCCGAAAACUACUGUUAUUAUUUGCAGGUCCUUCUAUAUUUCUGUAUCCACUUAUUUUAGUAUAUUUUCCUGAACAAAGAAAACUGAAAACUAAUCUUUGGUUAGCAUUUACUAUAUCGGGUGCUUCCUUUUAUGGUGUUUUUAUUUUCCUUGACCUUCGUAAUGCAGAUAUCUAUUCAAGAUUUGUUUCCAAAGGACCAAUACAUAAAUUACUUAAUAACACAGCUAAUGCAGAUAUCAAUUCAAGAUUUGUUUCCAAAGGACCUUCGUAAUGCAGAUAUCAACUCAAAAGAUUUGUUUUACUCUUUUAUGUUGCAAUUUUGUGAUAUUACUGAAGAAAAGGAGAGUGAUAUAGGGUGCUUUAUCUUUUAUUUCAUCUCUUUGUGACCAUCUGGUGGAGUAUAUUCUUAUGUUGAUACUGAGGCCCAUAUCAAUAUAAAUGUGGGUCCCUUUUUACAUGGUCAAGGAUUAUGAUCUUUUAUUUGAUUCUAGCAUUUAUCUUCAUUGAACAUUACACUCAUUGUUAUGUUCUACAGCAUGCUGCAGAUGAGCGAAUUCGUUUGGAAGAACUGCGUGAGAAGGUAAUGAUUUUCUAAAAACUCAUUGAUGUUUCAUUGCAACUUGGAGUCUGUAACUUAGUGAAUUAUGAGGUCUUAUCUAAACAAAGGAGGAGGACAACCUAUCUUGAUUCCGAGCAAGAGUUGGUACGUUUAUGGUCAUCUAAUGUGAGUUAGAGUUUAUCUUUGCUGUGUGCCGCUUGGCUUGUGGGGAAGUCUUGAUACUCUUUAUGAUGAGUAAAAUUGAUUUUGAGUCUUUGACCAUGCUUUUGUAGGUCAUCCCUGAAAUUGGUUACCAAUUAUUUUACAACUAUGCUGACCAAAUUUAGAACUGUUGGUGGAUCUGCAACAUUCAUUCGCAAGCUUCAAGAUCAUUUACCAGGGUCCAUGUAUUUUGGGCGUUAACCUUACUAAUGUGGAUCUGUUAGAAUUUCUUCAACGGGUUAGUGCAUCGACACUAAUUAGCUCUCAUGUUUCACUCCUUCAAGGUACUUGUCUACCCUUUUAAGUUUCAAUACUCAGUUAUGAUUUUACUAGGUAUUGAAUGGAAAGUUGUGGAGUUGUUCUUGAAGGCCCCACUCAAACAACUUGAAUUUUUUAGUAGUUUAAUUAUAAGAAGUUUUGAUUUGUAGUAUUUUGAAUAAAGACACUCAAUUGGACAGACUUUCGCAAUCUCCCUCAAUGGCCAUUCCUUGACAUGGUCUAGACUUCUUGAUUUUGAUUGUUUCUUAAAAGUUGAAAUUAUGCCGUGUAAGAGAAUGGGGAGUUAUAUGUUUUCUGAUUUUCUUAAUGUUUUGAGGAUCAUUAGAGGUGAGCUACUGAGGAUAUGGCAAAUCGUGCUAUUAUGCAAUUUUAAUUGCUUAGACUAGUUGCACCAAAGGCAGUGACCGGUGAGGCUCGUCAAUGAAUUCUUAUGUUCCUUCGUUUGCUACUUCUGAUGUUGAUGGCAUAUGCUAUAUCUGCAAAUUGAUAUACCUUUUCUCCUCUUAGUAUGAUGUUCCAUUCUAGUAUCAUAAUUCUUUUUUUUCCCAUGAGUAAUUCUUAUAUCACAAUAUUUCUUUUUUCCAUGAGAUUUAUUUUCUUGUAGGACUGUUCUUUUUAUGUUUGUUAUUCUUAUAAGUGGUGUACUCCUAGUUUGAACUUAACCCAGUUUCCACCAGAUAUCUGUUGCUAUAGGCAUUGGCACCUGCUAUGUUAAGGUGGAUGACAAUGGAUCUGGUGUUCUAUGAGAUGGACUGGUGCUGAUGGGAGAAAAUAUGGUACUAAGGGCAGCCCGUUGCACUAAAGCUCUCGCUAUGCGCAGGGUCCGGAGAAUGUUGGACUGGCAUCGUCUUUUCUAUUGUAUUGUAUAGGAUUGCAAGCUGAUAGGCUAUUUGAUGGUUUGUGUUCAUUAGCAUCCUUUUACAUUCUUUUAUUUAUUGAACGACCACGGGGGAGAGAUAUGAUACUGAAGAGAGAAGGGCACUGAUUGUAAAGGGUGCCGGUCUUUGGUGGGUGGGGGUGGGUUGUUGGAGUGCAGUUUUGCUAGUUGCUAGUAUUGGCUAAGGCUGCCUGCCAGCAGGUCUAACCUGUAUGAGAUACAUUCCACAUCUUAAGAGGAACUAGCUUCAUUUGAACACUUUUAACACUACACUAAUGUUUUAACUGUUUUAAUAAAUACUAGAGAUUAUUAAUUAGAAUGAGGGGAUUAAGGAAAAGGUAGAAUAGGCUCCGAGGAAGCGACAAAAUUUUCUUAUUUUUCUUUGAUGAGUGGAAUGAGUGGAGGAAGUGGGAGCACAUGUAAUCAGAGGUCUGCGUUUGGUUCCUCUUAGUUUUCGACUGCUGACCAUGGACUAGAUAAAACUUGAGAGUUGUUGCACUUUUUAGGAUUACUGAAUUUUCAUUUAACUGAUUACAUUGGUUGAUUAUGUUGACAUUUUGCUAUGGAAUGGAAUCUAUUGACUUCAAUGCCAUGCUAUUUAUUAGAAAUGCUGCU